AGCAGGAUUGUGUAACAGUAAAAAAAAAAAAAAAAAAAACGUAGCUACGUGCCAUGAAAAAAGAAGGUUGUCUAAUCAACUUGAAAAACAAAUUGAGCAGGUUCAGGAGACAAUGCAGACACAUACAGAGACAGUGACCGGGUCUUCUGAAGACCACGAAGAAGGAAAUCCCUGACCGCAUCUCAAAAAACACAAGCAGAGAAGAGGAGACGGUGUAACUAUGGAAUGUAAGCUCUGCUCACCGAAGAUGGUGGAGGUGGCUGCCUACAUUUACUCUGCUUCAAACUUGAGGAAACAUGUAAGUUAAUGAGGAAACAUCCAUUAAAGAUGACAAACUACAAUAUGUUCACCUCUGCAACCACAAACAAACGAACCAAGGAACUAUCAAACACCUCUUCAACUUACAAGCAAGCAAUGAUGUCUGAUGAUGGCAGUGGGAGGAGCCAGGUGCAUCUCACAGGCAACCGUUGACAAGCUUGUCAUUCAGUUGAUCUGUGAUGGCCGACAGCCAUUCUCUUUGGUCAUACAAGCAGCUUUUAAAGAGUUGGUAACCACCCUGCUUCCUCAAUGCAAAGUCAUCUCCAGACCUACUGUUCGUUCAAGAAUACAUGAAGCUGCCAAUCACAUGAAGAAGACUGUUAUGACACAACAUGGCAGGGUUUUAUUAUGUUGCCACCACCACUAAUUGUUGGACAGCUCAUCAAAGGAGUUACUACAUAGGGGUCACAUGUCACUGGAUAGAUGAAGAAACUCUGGUGAGACAUUCUGCUGCACUUGCUUGCAGGAGAUUGAAAGGUUCCCACACAUGUGAUGUGCUUGCAGGUGCCCUCGAUGACAUCCAUUAUGCAUACAGGAUCAGGGGGAAAGUGGUAAGAAUCACAACAGACAUUGGAUCAAACUUCAUCAAAGCAUUCAAUGUUUUUGGUGAGCAGAGCCAGGCAGUCGAGUCAGCAGACCGAGACUCAGAUGCUGAAGAGCCAGCAGAGCAGGUUGAAUACCAAGACACCUAUUCCAUCCUGGAAAAUGACAGUGGCCUAGAAUAUCAACUCCCUCAGCAUCAACGUCACCUGCUGAACCGCAUUGCAACAACAGAUUCUGUGUUGGUAGAAACAAAUAGUGAUAGCUAAAAAAGUUUGUCCAGGUUGUCUUUUGCCAUGUGGAAUAAAACUUGGCGGUCAACCUUAACUGCUGAAGUUGUAGAGAAUGAGUGCAAACUGCAGAUGAUCAGUCCAAAUCAAACACGUUGGAACUCAACUUUCCUGGCUGUGGAGAGGAUCACAGGUAUCAUACAAGAGAAGGGGAAGGAUGCCAUAAGAAAUGUGUGUGAAGAAUUCAAAGUGAACUUGCUGAGCCCAGCAGAAAUGUCCUUCUUGAAUGUGUACUGCAAAGUUUGGUCUCAGCUUUGAACAUUCUACAGUCUGAGACCCACACUGAGUGUGGUGUCAGGAAAAUAACCUCACACUCAACGUCAACAAAACAAAGGAGAUGAUUGUGGACUUCAGGAAACAGCAGAGGGAGCACCCCCCUAUCCACAUCGAUGGGACAGUAGUGGAGAAGGUGGAAAGUUUUAAGUUCCUCGGCGUACACAUCACAGACAAACUGAAAUGGUCCACCCACACAGAUAGCAACAGCGUCUCUUCAACCUCAGGAUUCUGAAGAAAUGUGGCCUGUCACCAAAAACACUUCCAAACUUUUACAGAUGCACAAUCGAGAGCAUCCUGUCGGGCUGUAUCGCCGCUUGGUACGGCAACUGCUCCGCCCACAACCAUAAGGCUCUCCAGAGGGUAGUGCGGUCUGCACCACGCAUCACCGGGGGCAAACUACUUUCCCUCCAGGACACCUACACCACCCGAUGUCACUGAAAGGCCAAAAACUAUCAAGGACAACAACCACCUGAGCCACUGCCUGUUCACCCCGCUAUCAUCCAGAAGACGAGGUCAGUAUGUGUGCAUCAAAGCUGGGACCGAGAGACUGAAAAACAGCUUCUAUCUCAAGGCCAUCAGACUGUUAAACAGCCAUCCCUAACAUUGAGUGGCUGCUGCCAACAUACAGACUCAUCUUUAGCUACUUUAAUAAUUAAUAAUUGGAUGUAAUAAAUGUAUCACGAGUCACUUAAACAAUGCCACUUUAUAUAAUGUUUACACUACUCAUCUCAUAUGUAUAUACUGUACUCUAUACCAUCUACUGCAUCUUGCCUAUGCCGUUCGGCCAUCGCUCAUCCAUAUAUUUAUAUGUACAUAUUCUUAAUCAUUCCGUUACACUUGUGUGUAUAAGGUAGUUGUGAAAUUGUUAGUUGUUAGAUAUAACUGCACGGUCGGAACUAGAAGCACAAGCAUUUCGCUACACUUGCAUUAACAUCUGCUGACCAUGUGUAUGUGACCAAUAAGAUUUGAUUUGAUUUGACACGCAUAUGGGGUGGCUGCUGCCAGUAAUCUUACUAAAAACAAAACUUCAAAGGCUGGAAGCAUCUUGCCAAAUGUGCCUACCACUUAUCAGAGCCAUUCAGAACGGUCUCCAAAAGCGCUUUGGAGAAAUGAUCGAGUAGCCACAGCUUAUUGCUGCUGGAAUCCUUCUGCCAAAGUUCAAGACGUCUUGGACUGACAAAGCUGAUGUCAUCACAGCCGGUAUGAUUUCUUUACUCCGAAUGGUUUUAACCUCAUUGUCCAUUGAUGAUAUAUUUUGGUCUUUGAGUCUUUUCUUUAGUUGUUUUUUGUUAUGUUUUUUUAAAAUUAUUUUUUAUUAUUUAAGUUGCAUUACAGAUGCUGAACAAUAACCUUUGCAUAUAACUAAACUCAGCAAAAAAAUAAACGUCCUCUCACUGUCAA